AGGAUGAACGCUAGCGGCAGGCUUAAUACAUGCAAGGUCGUGGGGCAGCGCAGUGUAGCAAUACGAUGGGCGGCGACCGGCAAACGGGUGCGGAACACGUAUACAACCUUCCUACAAGUGGGAAUAGCCCAGAGAAUUUGGAUUAUACCCGUAACAUAUAAAGAUGGCAUCUAUUUUUAUAUUAUAGCUACGGCGCUUGUUGAUGGGUGUGCGGCUGAUUAGGUAGUUGGCGGGGUAAUGGCCCACCAAGCCUGCGAUCAGUAGCUGAUGUGAGAGCAUGAUCAGCCACACGGGCACUGAGACACGGGCCCGACUCCUACGGGAGGCAGCAGUAAGGAAUAUUGGACAAUGGGCGCAAGCCUGAUCCAGCCAUGCCGCGUGAAGGAUUAAGGUCCUCUGGAUUGUAAACUUCUUUUAUAAGGGACGAAAAAAGGGAAUUCUUUCUCACUUGACGGUACCUUAUGAAUAAGCACCGGCUAACUCCGUG
rnacentral:rRNA from 1 species